rnacentral:rRNA from 1 species
GUAGGGUGGGCAAGCGUUGUCCGGAAUUAUUGGGCGUAAAGCGCGCGCAGGCGGUCCUUUAAGUCUGAUGUGAAAGCCCACGGCUCAACCGUGGAGGGUCAUUGGAAACUGGGGGACUUGAGUACAGAAGAGGAAAGCGGAAUUCCAAGUGUAGCGGUGAAAUGCGUAGAGAUUUGGAGGAACACCAGUGGCGAAGGCGGCUUUCUGGUCUGUAACUGACGCUGAGGCGCGAAAGCGUGGGGAGCAAACAGGAUUAGAUACCCUGGUAGUCCACGCCGUAAACGAUGAGUGCUAAGUGUUAGGGGGUUUCCGCCCCUUAGUGCUGCAGCUAACGCAUUAAGCACUCCGCCUGGGGAGUACGGCCGCAAGGCUA